GACGGAGGAUGCAAGUGUUAUCCGGAAUCACUGGGCGUAAAGCGUCUGUAGGUGGUCAAAUAAGUCAACUGUUAAAUCUUGAGGCUCAACCUCAAAAUCGCAGUCGAAACUAUUAGACUAGAGUAUAGUAGGGGUAAAGGGAAUUUCCAGUGGAGCGGUGAAAUGCGUAGAGAUUGGAAAGAACACCGAUGGCGAAGGCACUUUACUGGGCUAUUACUAACACUCAGAGACGAAAGCUAGGGAGCGAAUGGG
rnacentral:rRNA from 1 species